rnacentral:lncRNA from 1 species
UUUGGUGAGGUGGGUUCAGACUUCAGACUUCAGAGUCUCUGGGUCUUAGGGUUUCUGGGUUGGUUCCAAAGGUGGUGAUUGGCUAAAGGUUGAGUAUGAAUGGGGUUUGGGGAUUCUCAUUUUUCAUUGCUACAUUUUUUUUCCUGUUUGUGACUUUGUCUUUCAGUAUCCAAUGUGGGUUUGCUUUACAGUUGGAUAAUCUAUACAGAGAUUGUUGCUAAUCUCAUUGCCUUUUUUAUGUUUUUGAUGAUUGGGAUUAGAAAAUAG